AGCCCUUUGAAAGCAGGUGGGAUCGGACAGGUCGAAGUCUCCAUCGCUCCUGGAGCAGGACGGAGGCCAGAAAGCAUUUGUACAGGAUGCAUUUCCUGACUCGCCUUGGGAUUCCCAAAGGUGAAGAUUUCAUGAGAUGAGUAACUCCAGCUAUUCAUGCACAACACGGCCACCAAGGCUGACCAAGCACAGAGGAAAUUGGCCUUAAAGCUGGACUUGAAGGACUCCAAAAUGGCAAAGCAAGACUUUAGAAGCAGGCUGGAUCCCUGAGUCACCACCAGGAGCACAGCUGCCAGGAAAACCACUCAAUCUCCUCCAGGCUUAGAUCAUUUGACUUCCUGACCUUCCUCAGCAGAAAAGUCUAUGGACUGAUUAUACGCUAAGAGUAGAAGUAUUUCCUUUUAUUUGUUUUAAAUUUUCCCACUGUUAAUUUCAUUGACAGCAUACUAGUUCUCAUAUUAUGAAAUGAGGUAAAGAAGGAAUAAAAGAGAAGAAUCAUUUUUACUACUCCUAUGAAAUGCAAAAAUUGUUCUUCUUGUCUCCCAAUGCUUCCAAGGCUGUUCACUUUGUUCUCGCACCAUCCAGAGGUCCUACUCUGCAUUUACAUCAACCUGUAGGUGCAUGGUUCACCUUAUAACCCAAGAUCCUUUCCCAGUUGCUGCCCUGUACUCUGUGCAAACAUCCCCUCACUAUUGUCCAAAGCAACUUCUUUGUUCUAGCUAACCCAAAAUGGCAAAAAUGUUUCACUUCAAGGGCUGGUUUCCAUCUGUGGCAGUGGCCACCUAAGUAUUGUCUUAGGGAAGAUUAUGUGGCCGUGUAAGGACUCAGUAGGAAAAGUGUUGUGAGAGAUUAGCAAUCUAUUGGGGUUAGGGGUUGUAUGUACAGCAGAGCCUCAACAAAACACUGUCAGACAAACACCACUACAUCUGCUAUGCCAACUCCUGCCUCAAUAGCACUAUGUGAGCUUCCCAUGUUCACAUAACCAGAAUUCCAUCCAGAUUCCAUUAUCCAGAAUUCCCUCCAAAUUCCAUUUCACCAAUCCACAUCUGAUACUUUCUAAGCUUCUAGAAAGAUCUUUCUAACACUCUGUGCUGAUCACUGGCUGGCAAAAUUCAUUCUGGAAUUUAUUCUAAAGUUGAAAAUCAUAAUCACUGGCUAACAAGAAUCAUUUUAUAAUUUAUUCUAAAACUGAAAGAAUUGCCCCAGAUGGAUGGCAGCUUUGGCUGACAACACCUAAAUCUUACCUAGCCUGAAUUUAGAAAGGCUCUAGAAAUUCAGGGUGAAAAGCCUUUUGAACCAUUGAUUCAUGCUCUCCUUGUAAAGAAGGAUGAUUGCCCUUCUACUUUAUAUGUUAAGAGAAUUAGACUUGGUGAUCUUUAAAACACACCAGAAGCUGGACUUCUCUGCAAAGAACCACGGUGCUUUACCUCAGACCUUGUCUUCUGCUAUUUCCCCUCUCAGUCACUCUGUUCAGACCCUUCACCCCAUUUGGGGCCUCUGCCAAGGCAGAUCUCUCUACUCUUCUCCCAGAUAUCCAUGAGCCUCAUUUUCACUUUUUUCCACUUUGCUCAUGUUUCCUUCUCAAUGAGGCCCACCUUGCUCAGCCCAACCACACAUGGACUCUGUUGCCUCUUAUGAUGCUCAACAUGUUAAAAUUUUGUUCAUAGCACUUGUCACUUUCCAACCUAGUCCAUAAUUUGCUUAUUUUUUAUGGGUAUUACUUAGUAUCUCUCUCCUCUAGAAGGUGAGCUUUAUGAGAGCAGAGAUCUCAGA